rnacentral:rRNA from 1 species
UACAGAGGUCUCAAGCGUUGUUCGGAUUCAUUGGGCGUAAAGGGUGCGUAGGUGGUGAUGCAAGUCUGGUGUGAAAUCUCGGAGCUCAACUCCGAAAUUGCACCGGAUACUGCGUGACUCGAGGACUGUAGAGGAGAUCGGAAUUCCUGGUGUAGCGGUGAAAUGCGCAGAUAUCAGGAGGAACACCGGUGGCGAAGGCGGUUCUCUGGGAAUGUCCUGACGCUGAGGAGCGAAAGUGUGGGGAGCGAACAGG